UACGGAGGGAGCUAGCGUUAUUCGGAAUUACUGGGCGUAAAGCGCACGUAGGCGGCUUUGUAAGUAAGAGGUGAAAGCCCAGAGACUCAACUCUGGAAUUGCCUUUUAGACUGCAUCGCUCGAAUCAUGGAGAGGUCAGUGGAAUUCCGAGUGUAGAGGUGAAAUUCGUAGAUAUUCGGAAGAACACCAGUGGCGAAGGCGGCUGACUGGACAUGUAUUGACGCUGAGGUGCGAAAGCGUGGGGAGCAAACAGG
rnacentral:rRNA from 1 species